rnacentral:tRNA from 1 species
AAUAGAAUGGCUGAGAAUUAGGCAUUAAACUGUAAAUUUAAUUACGAAAUAAAUAUUCUUCUGUUA